CGUCUGGAAAGGCGCGCGAUACAGGGUGACAGCCCCGUACACAAAAAUGCACAUGCUGUGAGCUCGAUGAGUAGGGCGGGACACGUGGUAUCCUGUCUGAAUAUGGGGGGACCAUCCUCCAAGGCUAAAUACUCCUGACUGACCGAUAGUGAACCAGUACCGUGAGGGAAAGGCGAAAAGAACCCCGGCGAGGGGAGUGAAAAAGAACCUGAAACCGUGUACGUACAAGCAGUGGGAGCACAGAGCAAUCUGUGUGACUGCGUACCUUUUGUAUAAUGGGUCAGCGACUUAUAUUCUGUAGCAAGGUUAACCGAAUAGGGGAGCCGAAGGGAAACCGAGUCUUAACUGGGCGUUAAGUUGCAGGGUAUAGACCCGAAACCCGGUGAUCUAGCCAUGGGCAGGUUGAAGGUUGGGUAACACUAACUGGAGGACCGAACCGACUAAUGUUGAAAAAUUAGCGGAUGACUUGUGGCUGGGGGUGAAAGGCCAAUCAAACCGGGAGAUAGCUGGUUCUCCCCGAAAGCUAUUUAGGUAGCGCCUCGUGAAUUCAUCUCCGGGGGUAGAGCACUGUUUCGGCAAGGGGGUCAUCCCGACUUACCAACCCGAUGCAAACUGCGAAUACCGGAGAAUGUUAUCACGGGAGACACACGGCGGGUGCUAACGUCCGUCGUGAAGAGGGAAACAACCCAGACCGCCAGCUAAGGUCCCAAAGUCAUGGUUAAGUGGGAAACGAUGUGGGAAGGCCCAGACAGCCAGGAUGUUGGCUUAGAAGCAGCCAUCAUUUAAAGAAAGCGUAAUAGCUCACUGGUCGAGUCGGCCUGCGCGGAAGAUGUAACGGGGCUAAACCAUGCACCGAAGCUGCGGCAGCGACGCUGAUGCGUUGUUGGGUAGGGGAGCGUUCUGUAAGCCUGUGAAGGUGUGCUGUGAGGCAUGCUGGAGGUAUCAGAAGUGCGAAUGCUGACAUAAGUAACGAUAAAGCGGGUGAAAAGCCCGCUCGCCGGAAGACCAAGGGUUCCUGUCCAACGUUAAUCGGGGCAGGGUGAGUCGACCCCUAAGGCGAGGCCGAAAGGCGUAGUCGAUGGGAAACAGGUUAAUAUUCCUGUACUUGGUGUUACUG
rnacentral:rRNA from 1 species